rnacentral:rRNA from 1 species
GAUGAACGCUGGCGGCGUGCCUAAUACAUGCAAGUCGAGCGAACAGACGAGGAGCUUGCUCCUCUGACGUUAGCGGCGGACGGGUGAGUAACACGUGGAUAACCUACCUAUAAGACUGGUAUAACUUCGGGAAACCGGAGCUAAUACCGGAUAAUAUCUUGAACCGCGUUGGUCAAUAGUGAGAGACGGUUUUUCUGUCACUUAUCGAUGGAUCCGCGCCGAAUUAGCUAGUUGGUAAGGUAACGGCCUACCAAGGCAACGAUGCGUAGCCGACCUGAGGGGGUGAUCGCCCACACUGGAACUGAGACACGGUCCAGACGCCUACGGGAGGCAGCAGAAGGGAAUCGUCCGCAAUGGGCGAAAGCCUGACGGAGCAAGGCCGCGUGAGUGAUGAAGGUCUCCGGAUCGUAAAAACCUGUUAUGAGGGAAGAACAAAUGUGUAAGGAACUAUGCACGUAUUGACGGUACCUAAUCAGAAAGCCACGGCUAACUACGUG